ACUUGGUAGGAUCCGAUAACUAGCCCUCAUAAGACACAUACAUUUGAUACCUCAGCAUUCCUUAACAGUAAAUUGUCUGUUGUCGGAAGCAGAUUGGAUAUCAUCUUCUAGAAGAAGAGUUUCACCUUUGGGGGGAUUUUCAACCUCCAUAUCUUUGACCAUUCAUUAAAACCAGAGGAAGAGGAUGACAGACUAGUAAGAGAUUGCAAAUUGUGAGAAUGGAUCCAAUGGUAUGCACUUUUGACAGUAAAUUACCCAUUUCGAGUACCAUUCCAGAAUAAAACAUUUACUGGAUUUCUAUGGUUGAGUGGCAACUCCAAUAUCUGUUGAGCCUGAUCUGGAUUGAAAAUUGAAUUAAUAAGCUGUCUAUUCCACCUGCCAUCUGUCAUCAAAGCAUCAACUGUCGACCCUUGAUCCAGCCCUUGAAUGGGACUCAGAAUUAAUCCACCAGGCUGCUUGGGAAGCCAACGAUCACCCCAAAUACGAACAGUUGUAGCAUUUCCUAUUCUCCACUGAAGACCCUCCAUGCGUUCAUCCCUAAAGCAAAUAAUACUCCGCCAUAUGAAGCUAGGUCAAAACCCCACUUUAGCCUUAAGAACAUCUUGACGAAGAAAAUAACAUGCUUUAAGAAUCUUAUUGGCAAGAGAACUAGGACACUGAACAAGACGCCACACAUUUUCGAACAGCACAGCUAAGUUAAAAUCAUGGAGAGAACGAAACCCCAAA
rnacentral:misc_RNA from 1 species